rnacentral:rRNA from 1 species
AACGCGUGGGUAAUCUCCCCCCCGAAUUGGGGAUAACAUCGCGAAAGCGAUGCUAAUACCGGAUAAUAUCUUAAAAACCUCGGUUUUAAAGAUCAAAGGUGGCCUCUACAUGUAAGCUUCUGUUUGGGGAUGAGCCCGCGUACCAUUAGCUUGUUGGUAGGGUAAUGGCCUACCAAGGCUACGAUGGUUAGCUGGUCUGAGAGGAUGAUCAGCCACACUGGAACUGACACACGGUCCAG